GGGGAGGGAGGCGGGAAGAGCACGGCACUUCCGCUGGCCGCUCCUGGAGGCGGCGGCGGGAGUGCAGGGGGUGCGCGGCCCGGGGACUCGCAUUCCCCGGUCCCCCUCCACCCCACGCGGCCUGGACCAUGGAUGCCAGGUAGGGGCCUCUGCUUUCCCCUGGUGAAAGCUUGUGUGUUUGGCAAUGAGCCCAAGGCCUCUGAUGAGGUUCCCCUGGCGCCCCGAACAGAGGCGGCAGAGACCACCCCGAUGUGGCAGGCCCUGAAGCUACUCUUCUGUGCCACAGGGCUCCAGGUGUCUUAUCUGACUUGGGGUGUGCUGCAGGAAAGAGUGAUGACCCGUAGCUAUGGGGCCACAGCCACAUCACCGGGUGAGCGCUUUACAGACUCGCAGUUCCUGGUGCUAAUGAACCGAGUGCUGGCACUGAUUGUGGCUGGCCUCUCCUGUGUUCUCUGCAAGCAGCCCCGGCAUGGGGCACCCAUGUACCGGUACUCCUUUGCGAGCCUGUCCAAUGUGCUUAGCAGCUGGUGCCAAUACGAAGCUCUUAAGUUCGUCAGCUUCCCCACCCAGGUGCUGGCCAAGGCCUCUAAGGUGAUCCCUGUCAUGCUGAUGGGAAAGCUUGUGUCUCGGCGCAGCUACGAACACUGGGAAUACCUGACAGCCACCCUCAUCUCCAUUGGGGUUAGCAUGUUUCUGCUAUCCAGCGGACCGGAGCCCCGCAGCUCCCCAGCCACCACACUCUCAGGCCUCAUCUUACUGGCAGGUUAUAUUGCUUUUGACAGCUUCACCUCAAACUGGCAGGAUGCCCUGUUUGCCUAUAAGAUGUCAUCGGUGCAAAUGAUGUUUGGGGUCAAUUUCUUCUCCUGCCUCUUCACAGUAGGCUCACUGCUAGAACAGGGGGCCCUCCUGGAGGGAACCCGCUUCAUGGGGCGACACAGUGAGUUUGCUGCCCAUGCCCUGCUACUCUCCAUCUGCUCCGCAUGUGGCCAGCUCUUCAUCUUUUACACCAUUGGGCAGUUUGGGGCUGCUGUCUUCACCAUCAUCAUGACCCUCCGCCAGGCCUUUGCCAUCCUUCUUUCCUGUCUUCUCUAUGGCCACACUGUCACUGUGGUGGGAGGGCUGGGGGUGGCUGUGGUCUUUGCUGCCCUCCUGCUCAGAGUCUACGCGCGGGGCCGUCUAAAGCAACGGGGAAAGAAGGCUGUGCCUGUUGAGUCUCCUGUGCAGAAGGUUUGAGGGUGGAGAGGGCCUGAGGGGUAAAGUGAAAUAGGACCCUCUCACCAUCCCCUUCUACUGUAACCUCUGAGGGAGCUGGCUGAAAGGGCAAAAUGCAGGCGUUUUCUCGGUAUCACAGACCAGCUCUGCAGCAGGGCGUGGGGGAGCCCAGGAGGCAGCCUUCCCUUUUGCCUUAAGUCACCCAUCUUCCAGUAAGCAGUUUAUUCUGAGCCCUGGGGUAGAAUCCUCAGUGAGAGGUUUUGGGGAGUUUGGGGUCCAGAGGACAUAGGUAGGUUCCACAGUUCCCCCUCCCACAAGUUCCCUAAAGUCUUGCCCUAGCUGUGCUCUGCCACCUUCCAGACUCCCUCCCCUCUGCAAAUACCUGCAUUUCUUACCCUGGUGAGAAAAGCACAAGCAGUGUAGACUCCAAUGCUGCUUUCCCAGGAGGGUGAAGUGAAGAUGGUGCUGUGCUGAGGAAAGGGGAUGCAGAGCCCUGCCCAGCACCACCACCUCCUAUGCUCCUGGAUCCCUAGGCUCUGUUCCAUGAGCCUGUUGCAGGUUUUGGUACUUUAGAAAUGUAACUUUUUGCUCUUAUAAUUUUAUUUUAUUAAAUUAAAUUACUGCAGUGGACUUGG
rnacentral:sRNA from 1 species